rnacentral:rRNA from 1 species
AUUGAACGCUGGCGGCAGGCUUAACACAUGCAAGUCGAGCGGGGGAAAGUAGCUUGCUACCGGACCUAGCGGCGGACGGGGGAGUAAUGCUUAGGAAUCUGCCUAUUAGUGGGGGACAACAUCUCGAAAGGGAUGCUAAUACCGCAUACGUCCUACGGGAGAAAGCAGGGGAUCUUCGGACCUUGCGCUAAUAGAUGAGCCUAAGUCGGAUUAGCUAGUUGGUGGGGUAAAGGCCUACCAAGGCGACGAUCUGUAGCGGGUCUGAGAGGAUGAUCCGCCACACUGGGACUGAGACACGGCCCAGACUCCUACGGGAGGCAGCAGUGGGGAAUAUUGGACAAUGGGGGGAACCCUGAUCCAGCCAUGCCGCGUGUGUGAAGAAGGCCUUAUGGUUGUAAAGCACUUUAAGCGAGGAGGAGGCUACUCUAGUUAAUACCUAGGGAUAGUGGACGUUACUCGCAGAAUAAGCACCGGCUAACUCUGUGCCAGCCGCCGCCGUAA